CGAGACGGGCGGGGGUCUCCGCGGGCCUCUUUUGUCUUCGCCGUCGCCCUGAAAUCCCCCACCCGGCGACGAGAUCGGAUCCUGGCGGCGCUGAGCUCCCCUUGCGGCAAAGGUGAUGCAUAUCUGGCUGCGAAUCGGAUUCCUGGAUUUAAUACAUGGCUCCACAAACGAGGAGGGUGGCUCCUUCAAACAACUCAGCCGCCCGCCCCGUUUCCCCCUCCAGAAGAACAAUCUGUGAACCGCGACAUUUAUCGCCGUUCUUCCUCCAGCCGCCGCUGCAGAAGCUUGAGCGGUGACGUCACACAACGCCCGCAAGCGGGGAGACAGUUGAAGUCUCUUUUCCGAUGGCCGUCAGACGAGCUGGAUGCGCCUGCGCCUAAGGAGGCCUGAUUUAAAGGGGCAGCUACCUUUCUUAUCAGAUGAGUUGGAUCUUACCCCUGAUAAAUGUUUUUUUGACCAGUUCGUGUUUAGGGUUGCCAACUAGGGACUUCUAUAGAGUCUAUGUGGCUAUUUGGGGGACCAAAUGACUCCCUCGCCUUCAUUAGGAGGAACAGAGACUAUUUUGGGGACCAAAAGACCUCCCCGGGGUGGUUUUUUUUUUUUUUUUUUUUGCAUUAGGAGGAAUAAGGACUAUUUGGGGACCCAAACAACUUUUUUUGCAUGUGUUUUGUGGUGUCCAAAGUUCUGGGGAGCAGCUGGAACAUUUUGCUUGCUCAGAACACUUUGCUACCAUGAGUAGCUUCUCUUCCUCCUGCUCCUUUCCCUUCCUACUGACCAUCCAUCCAAUGGAACGUAGGAAGCUGCCAUAUACUGAGUCAGACCAUGGUCUAUCCCCUUAGGGGAUGGAGCCGCUCUGGGAAGAGCAGAAGGUUUCAAGUUCCCUCCCCGGCUUCUCCAAGAUAGGGCUGAGAGAGAUUCCAGCCUGCAACCUUGGAGAAACCACUGCCAGUCUGGGAAGACAAUGCUGAGCUAAAUGGACCAAUGGUCUGACUCAGUAUGUGGCAGCUUCCUAUGUUCCUAAAUAGGCCAUACAGCCGCUUGAACACAUUGCUUUGUUUUCAUUUGCAAUUACCUAUUUUUCUUAUUUUAGACACUUGGCACACUUAAAAUAAACCGACUGAGCAAAA